AAGUCGUAACAAGGUUUCCGUAGGUGAACCUGCGGAAGGAUCAUCAAUGAAUUCCAAAUUCAACCUGGCUUUGGUGACCUUUUGGCCAUGUGCUAGAAGGUUGUCACUGCCUAUCAACCACCAGUCUUUGUCUUUGCGGGAGGUGUCUUUUGUUUCGAGCAAGAGCAGAGCCCUUUUUGCAAUUGACUUUGACUUUUUUUUUUGAGUUUGGCAGGUUCGCUUGUAGUUUUUGGGCUUUGGUUUCGGCUGGGUGUUCUCAGUCAAAAUUUGACCUUGGCAACUUGCAACCUCCAUUCUCGUCAUUGUGGGCAAAACAAAUUGAAAUUAAAAUACAACUUUUAACGAUGGAUCUCUUGGCUCCC
rnacentral:misc_RNA from 1 species